rnacentral:ncRNA from 1 species
CGACGUCGCGUGGGAGAGUCCUCUCCGCACAGCGGUGAGGCGCCGAAGGGGCAUACUCCCCAUCAAGCUCUCAGGCGCCCGGGACCACGCGAAGCAG